UGGGGAAUAUUGGACAAUGGGCGAAAGCCUGAUCCAGCAAUGCCGCGUGAGUGAAGAAGGCCUUAGGGUUGUAAAGCUCUUUUACCCGGGAAGAUAAUGACUGUACCGGGAGAAUAAGCCCCGGCUAACUCCGUGCCAGCAGCCGCGGUAAUACGGAGGGGGCUAGCGUUGUUCGGAAUUACUGGGCGUAAAGCGUACGUAGGCGGUUAUUCAAGUCAGAGGUGAAAGCCCGGGGCUCAACUCCGGAACUGCCUUUGAAACUAGAUAGCUAGAAUCACGGAGAGGUAAGUGGAAUUCCGAGUGUAGAGGUGAAAUUCGUAGAUAUUCGGAAGAACACCAGUGGCGAAGGCGGCUUACUGGACGUGUAUUGACGCUGAGGUACGAAAGCGUGGGGAGCAAACAGGAUUAGAUACCCAUGUAGUCCCUGAGCGGGCUGGCAAGGCGCAU
rnacentral:rRNA from 1 species